GGCUUCCUCAGCAUCUGAUUUAGAUUGUAUCUGCUACUGAAACAAUGCAAAAACAAGUGAGGAAAUUGAAAAAUAAAUAAUGGACUUUUCCAUUUAUGACACCAGAGAAUUGAUUUUCCAAUAUUUGCUAGAAAAAAAAGAAGCCUGUUUUAACUUCCGUUUGUUAUUUGUUAAAUCACUGACAUGGCUUAUGGCCCUAGAUUCCUAAUUUGUAAUCUGCAAACACCACGAACAAUGU
rnacentral:misc_RNA from 1 species